CCAGACACUCCGGCGUCAAUAAUACGCAGCCGCUGUCAGAUCUCUUAGCAACUGUGACCUACGGGAGGCGCACACGCUAUAAUCAGAAGGGCUGGCUGACGUUAGGAAUCGUUCACUUUGACAGACAUGACUUGCGCAACUCUGAAGUACCUUCGUGGACUCUUGUUUGAGAAACGCCGAAUUGGUCAUUUCCUGGAGUUCGGUUUCAGUUCAUUCGACUCGGAUUAUUUCGACUUUAUACACGCGACUGAAACUCGUUACAAAACUAAAGUACAUAAUUAAUCAUACGUUAUAUAUUAAUCGUAAAUCUACCAAUACACAGUAGAAACAUCUGGAUUUCAUUUUGUAAAUAAAGCAAUGAGAAUUU